UAGAUUUACCACGAUCUCUUC
rnacentral:piRNA from 1 species